CUCAGGUAGCUCAGUUGGAAGAGCAUAGGAUUGAAAAUCUUCCUGUCACCAGUUCAAAUCUUGUUCCUGAUA
rnacentral:tRNA from 1 species